CCCGUCCCUCACGUGGGCUCGCAGCUGGCCACGCCGUCGCCGCGGAAGCCGCGCUGGCAGCGGCACUGGAAGCUGCCGGGGCUGUUGUGGCAGCGCGCCCGCGGGUGGCACCGCGCCAGCCCCAGCGCGCACUCGUCCACGUCGGGGCACGCGCCGUACCACCACCGGCCGCGCCCGCGGUCACUCUGGUCACUCUGGUCACUCUGGUCACUCUGGUCACUCUGGGGGUCAGCCUGACCCUCAGCCUGACCCUCAGCCCGAUGGUCACUCUGGUCACUCUGGUCACUCUGGGGGUCAGCCUGACCCUCAGCCCGAUGGUCACUCCGAUGGUCACUCUGGUCACUCUGGGGGUCAGCCUGACCCUCAGCCUGACCCUCAGCCCGAUGGUCACUCCCAUGGUCACUCUGGGGGUCAGCCUGACCCUCAGCCCGAUGGUCACUCCCAUGGUCACUCUGGUCACUCUGGGGGUCAGCCUGACCCUCAGCCUGAUGGUCACUCCCAUGGUCACUCUGGUCACUCUGGGGGUCAGCCUGACCAUCAGCCUGACGGUCAUUCUGAUGGUCACUCCGAUGGUCAGCCUGACCCUCAGCCUGAUGGUCACUCCGAUGGUCACUCGGCUGGUCACUCUGGUCACCCGCGGGGUCAGCCUGACCCUCAGCCUGAUGGUCAUUCUGAUGGUCACUCCCAUGGUCACUCUGGGGGUCAGCCUGACCCUCAGCCUGAUGGUCAUUCUGAUGGUCACUCAGAUGGUCACUCUGGUCACUCAGCUGGUCAGCCUGACCCUCAGCCUGAUGGUCACUCGGCUGGUCACUUUGGGGGUCAGCCUGACUGUCAGCCUGGCCGUCAUUCUGAUGGUCACUCCGAUGGUCAGCCUGACCCUCAGCCUGAUGGUCACUCCGAUGGUCACCCAGCUGGUCACUCGGCUGGUCAGCCCAGUGGUCAUUCUGAUGGUCACUCAGCUGGCCACUCUGCUGGUCCUUCUGAUGGUCACUCCAGUGGUCACUCUGCUGGUCAGACUGGUGGUCACUUUGGUGGUCACUCUGCUGGUCACCGUGCUGGUCGUUCUGCUGGCCACCUUCCUGGUCACUCAGGUGGUCACUGUGGUCACUGUGGUCACUGUGGUCACUCCGCUGGUCACUCUGGUCACUCUGGUCACUCUGCUGGUCACUCUGCUGGUCACUCAGGUCACUCAGGGCCACCGAGCAGUUGGGGAAGUCCCGGGGACCCGCGAAGUCGCCCUCCAAGCAGCUGGGAGAGAAAAUUCGGGAAUUUUGGGAAAUUUUGGGAAUUUUUGGGGGGUUUGGGUGGUAAAACGGGGGGAAAGGGGAAAAAAAUUGAAAUUGGGACAGAAAAAAAUCCAAAAUGAGGGUGAAAAGGGCAGAAUUGGG
rnacentral:lncRNA from 1 species